rnacentral:rRNA from 1 species
GACGUAGGGCGCGAGCGUUGUCCGGAUUUAUUGGGCGUAAAGAGCUCGUAGGCGGCUUGUCGCGUCGUCUGUGAAAUCCCGCGGCUCAACCGCGGGUCUGCAGUCGAUACGGGCAGGCUAGAGUUCGGUAGGGGAGACUGGAAUUCCCUGGUGUAGCGGUGAAAUGCGCAGAUAUCAGGAGGAACACCGGUGGCGAAGGCGGGUCUCUGGGCCGUAACUGACGCUGAGGAGCGAAAGCAUGGGGAGCGAACAGG